rnacentral:rRNA from 1 species
AUUGAACGCUGGCUGCAGGCUUAACACAUGCAAGUCGAACGAGUGGCGGACGGGUGCGUAAUGUCUGGGAAACUGCCUGAUGGAGGGGGAUAACUACUGUAAACGGUAGCUAAUACCGCAUACCAUCGGAUUUGCCCAGAUGGGAUUAGCUCGUCGGUGGGGUAAUGGCUCACCUAGGCGACGCUCCCUAGCUGGUCUGAGAGGAUGACCAGCCACACUGGAACUGAGACACGGUCCAGACUCCUACGGUAGGCAGAAGUGGGGAAUAUUGCACAAUGGGCGCAAGCCUGAUGCAGCCAUGCCGAGUGUGUGAAGAAGGCCUUCGGGUUGUAAAGGACUUUCAGCGGGGAGGCGUUACCCGCAGAAGAAGCACCGGCUAACUCCGUGCUAGCAGCCGCGGUAAUAC